rnacentral:rRNA from 1 species
CGCUGGCGGCGUGCCUAUACUGCAGUCGAGCGGACCGACGGGAGCUUGCUCCCUUAGGUCAGCGGCGGACGGGUGAGUAACACGUGGGUAACCUGCCUGUAAGACUGGGAUAACUCCGGGAAACCGGGGCUAAUACCGGAUGCUUGAUUGAACCGCAUGGUUCCAUUCUUAAAGGGGGCUUUUAACUUCCCCUUUCCGAAGGACCCCCCGCCCCAUAACUUAUUUGGGAAGGAACCGCUCCACCAGGGCAACAAUCCUAACCCAACCGAAAAGGUGAACCGCCCCCCCGGGAACGAAAACCCGCCCAAAAUCCCAACGGAAGGAACCAUAAGGAAACCUCCCCCAUGGAACAAAGUCCGAACGAACCACCCCCCCGGAAUGAAGAAAGGUUUCCGAACCGAAAAAUCCUUUGGUAAGGAAGAACCAAUACCCGUCCAAUAAGGCCGGACCCUGACCGGACC